rnacentral:rRNA from 1 species
UACAGAAGAAGCACCGGCUAACUCCGUGCCAGCAGCCGCGGAAUACGGAGGGUGCGAGCGUUAAUCGGAAUUACUGGGCGUAAAGCGCAUGCAGGCGGCCUCGUUAAGUCAGAUGUGAAAGCCCGGGGCGUUAACCUCGGAAUUGCAUUUGAAACUGGCAGGCUAGAGUCUUGUAGAGGGGGGUAGGAAGUUUCAGGUUGGUUAAGCGGUGAAAUGCGUAGAGAUCUGAAGGAAUACCAGUGGCGAAGGCGGCCCCCUGGACAAAGACUGACGCUCAGAUGCGAAAGCGUGGGGAGCAAACAGGAUUAGAUACCCUGGUAG